GCGUUGAAGAUGAAACUCUUGAUCGGUGAAGAACGAAAGCAUUAGUCACUCACUUAUUGGGCCGACUGAAAUAUAAACUGGGCUUAGCCCAAGUAUGAUAUUAUUGGCCUAUGUAUGUUGGUUAUACAGGCAUAAUUCAAUAAGCAUAUGUUGGUUAUACAGGCAUAAUUCAAUAAGCAUAUGUUUGUUGUAUAUAGUAUAAUGUUGUUUGUUACAUUUUUGCAGGUGAAUGAAUACAAGUAACCUGCUCUAAAGAGGAAUAUGAUGAUGUACAUAAAGAUUAAUCUACAAAGACUAUACUUCUUUAUCUUCUAGCUUGUGUUGGACAGCUUCCACAAGUUGGAGUAACAUUGCUCCAAUGAAGUACCAUGUAACUCCUGCUAACAAUAUCUGCUGCCAUGGACUGUUAACUAUAGCUAAAGCCAGCGAGCCGCCGAUAUGGUCGUUGAGCUCAGAGGCGGCUCUGUAACUUGCUUGGUACUGAACCAAGAAUACUGCUACUAUGGCUGUCCCAAUUGGGAAUUUCUUUAUCCUGAAAUGUCUUCUAUUGUCUCUUCUACUAGCAGGUUUCUCUUCUGAAGGAAAUGUCUUACGAGUCACUUGCGGAAUCGAGCUAGCUUUGGAACUGGUGUUGUUUCCAGACGAGGGAAGAGCUGUGUUUGAUGGAGUCCAAUAAUCUUCUCCAAGCAUGUAAGCUGAUCCUUUUUCUUUAGUUUUCCCCCCGCUCUGUUCUGCUUGUUUCAUUGCUGCCACAGCAUCUUGAAGCUUUCUGAUAUCUGGAUCAACUGUUUUUUUUCGUUUGGUGAAAGUUAGACUCAUGUUUGAAUCUGGACUCAACGGUUUCGUGUACGGUGAUGAUCUCCAGUAUAGCCAAUUGGAAAUGGACCUUAUUGCCUCUACUGCACUUAUUUGUACUUCUCUCUGCAAGUAUUAAUAUAACUACUUAUUAUCUGACAGGUAAGUUUAUAACUUGGCUUUUACUACUUCUUACUUCUUAGGAUAAUGGAUAACUCACCUGGGAAGUUUCUUUCGUGGUUCGGCUCAUGGCUUUGGCGUAUCUUUCUUGGAACUUCUUGACAUCAACAAAUACAUUGGAGACACGCUCGCCAACCGUGUUUCCAACCCCGAUUCUCACGUUGCC
rnacentral:lncRNA from 1 species